rnacentral:rRNA from 1 species
UACGUAGGGUGCGAGCGUUGUCCGGAAUUAUUGGGCGUAAAGAGCUCGUAGGCGGUCUGUCGCGUCGGUCGUGAAAACUUGGGGCUUAACCCUGAGCUUGCGGUCGAUACGGGCAUGACUGGAGUUCGGCAGGGGAGACUGGAAUUCCUGGUGUAGCGGUGAAAUGCGCAGAUAUCAGGAGGAAUACCGAUGGCGAAGGCAGGUCUCUGGGCUGACACUGACGCUCAUGCACGAAAGCGUGGGGAGCAAACAGG